UGAGGAAUAUUGGUCAAUGGUCGGGAGACUGAACCAGCCAAGCCGCGUGAGGGAUGAAGGUACAGAGUAUCGUAAACCUCUUUUGUCAGGGAACAAAAGGCGCCACGCGUGGCGCUCCGAGUGUACCUGAAGAAAAAGCAUCGGCUAACUCCGUGCCAGCAGCCGCGGUAAUACGGAGGAUGCGAGCGUUAUCCGGAUUUAUUGGGUUUAAAGGGUGCGUAGGCGGCGAGUUAAGUCAGCGGUAAAAGCCCGGGGCUCAACCCCGGCCCGCCGUUGAAACUGCUUGCUUGAGUUGGAGAGAAGUAGGCGGAAGUGCGCGGUGUAGCGGUGAAAUGCUUAGAUAUCGCGCAGAACUCCGAUUGCGAAGGCAGCCUACCGGCUCCAGACUGACGCUGAGGCACGAAAGCGUGGGGCUAAUCGAACAGGGAUUAGAUAUCC
rnacentral:rRNA from 1 species